GACUCUUUCUGCGGUCGCCGAACGCGUGGACUCCCAAUUCCCGUAACUUGUUACAAGCAUCCACUUCCAAGUUGAGCAUCCAUGGCCUCAAAAUCCAGCAGACCUCACUUGCUAAUUCAACGAAUUCAGAGAAGUUAGCCCUUUUCGAUUCACAUAUACCAUAAAGAGCAAGUUUAUUCCAAUCACUCCAGCAUUUCAUUUUAUUUAUGCUUUUUGUUCUACUUUUUCUUCUUCUGCAAAAAGAUCAGAUCUUUGUGGUUUUGGCUUGAUUAACAAUCUUUUCUUCAGUUUGGUCUUAAGAUCCGUUUCAGAAAGCUGAAAACAAACUGAGAUUUUGGGACAAUGGGAGUAAAAUUAAAAAUGGGACCCAAAUAACCAAAAAGGGGAAGAAGUGAAGUAGAGGAAGAGUAGCGGAAGUGGCCAUUGCCAUAUCCUCGAUCCCCACGGACCCCUUCUCUCAAAUCACAUAUAAGUACUAUUUUUAUAAUUCUGCAGAUUCAGAUUCAGGAAAAUAAAUAAAAAAAAUAAAUAAACAAACGAAUACAAAAGCAAACUCAAAGCGUCAUUGAGAUUCAGAUGGUAUGAUUUGAAGAACCAUUCAAUAGUUCUCUUUCUUCAAUCUUAGUUAUCUUGCGGUACCAAGCUUGUGAAAAAAAUGUAUCCCGAGCGAAGAAAUAAACGGCCAUAUGCAGAACAUCCAAACUCUGACAAGAAUGUCAGAAGAUGUGAUAUUUAUGGGCAAAUAUCGCCCGAUAAAAGAAAGACAAUGUUACUACAACGCCGCACCAAAGAACUUGAGCGGUAAAAAUGGAAUAGUUCCAUAAAAUCGACAGUUGAUCCAGCUGAAAGAGUAAUGUAUCAAUGUCACCCUAUGAUUCGAAAAGAUAGUGCUCUUACCAUAAAAGAGGCUUCGUCUGCUGACAACGAAGUUGGCAGCAAGCAUGAUGUUAAUACUUCCUCAAGUUCUUUGGAUAAAGGAAAAAAGGUCGAUCAUGCGUCUUCUGUAUUUGAAAGAGUGACACUACCGCACCACAGCCGGUCCCAAGCCCGGAAAAAGGAGGAGGGUUAAUUGUGUAUUUAUGCUUUGCAAUACUAAAAGGCGGGAUGAUUAGUGAAGCAACAUACGUUGGAUCUUCCAAAACCAAUAAGGGAUUAUUGGACAAGAUCAUUUGAAGCCUUACAGGAGCAAAAGGAUGAUCAUCUUCGCUUAAUUGCCCUUGGAUUACCUCCUUCAAUAAAUGGUUCUUUUCACAUACAACUAUUUCCCAUUCAAUUGGGAACUACCAGUGAUCUCUGCCAACGACAAUUCUGCUAUAUCUUCAGCUAAUGACAGCCAAAAAUAUAAGUGCCCAAGGCAAAACUUGAGUGUUGCCUACUUUGUCCGCAACUUCAAUUGUAAACUGCAGUGUUCGUCUUCACAGAUACAAUCAUGAUUCCUCACAAUAUAUAACAUUAUCCGCCUGUUAUGCUAUACAUUGCGCGCAUACGCAUGAUUUUGAUACCAUUACAUAUAUAUAGCACUAAUACAAUUCUUCAGGUUACCGUCGGAAUAGCUAGGUAACAAUCCGUAUAACCAAACGAUAUAAAAUUUUUAACGGUGUGCCCAGACAGACCAAUUCAUGUUAUUUUGUACUUCUAACAUUUCCUCUACAGUCACUUACAUUAACUUCCCUAUAAGGAAACAAUUUUAUCAGCCAAAUGAAACUCUUACAGUAGUUCAUAUUUCACUGCUUUUACUGAACCUUUCUGUCUUACAGUAGUUCCUUCAUAAAUAUUUCCCUGCUUUCACUGUGCACUUCUGUUUUCCACUCUGCUUUGUAACUAGCUAAUUCUGAUUUGUAUCAACCUCUGUCUUAAAAGGCACAAUUAGGACUCGGUCGGGGCUCGCCUUGGGGCGGAACACUCGUAAAACGCCCCUGGACUUAUGUGUGGGACUUAGUGCCGUCAGAUUUACACUUCGGCCGUUGGAACUUACACCCCAAAUACAGCCAAUGCCCAACGUACUCAGGUUGCAAGCUACUCAAAAGAUGGAGCAGCGAUAUACCAUCCAGGAAAUCACGCCAUUUACUAGAGAUUGGACUCGUAAAAUACAAGUUGUUGACAAAAUCCGCCCCAAAAUUAGCAGAGAUAACCGGGUGCACGAAGAUGAAAAAGAAGACCAAAUCUGCAUCAUAACAUAUGGUCCUGAAGUGGCACAUUAUGACAACCUGUUCAAACAUUUCCACACGUACCUCAUCUCAGCAGCUAAAGUUAGGGAACCGUCACGUUUUGCAAUUCCCAUGCACAGACUCGAAUGGGUCGUCGAUACCUUCAGUAUUGUCGAAGAAGUUACAGAGAACAAUGAAGAAGAAUCAAUGUUACCGUUGCCUACAAAAUUAAACAUGGUGUGCUUUGCCGAUAUCGAGAAACAAAUUCUAGAAGAUGAAUUCGACUUGGUGGCAGUUGUGGCAAAUUGCGGUACCAUGAAAUAACAGGGCAGCGAAAACAGAAGAUUUCAAGAGGCCAUUCUCAUAGAAGACAAGAAAAAACCUUUUCUGUUUACUAUAUGGGGGGAAUUGGCUGACAACGAUGGAACUGAACUACUACAGUAGCUACAUAGAUAUCCUGUCAUUGUUGCAAAACGAAUAGCUGUUUCUAACUUUAAACAAGAGGUUCGCCUGACAACAAGGUUCAAUUCAUCAAUCUUAAUCGAUCCUUUGUACCCGCAGGCAACAAAUUUAAUGAAUUGGGCAAAGGAGAACAAGCAUAUGCUAAAUGAAUAUACUCUCAAAAGUACAUCAGAAUCGCAUUCGACACUAAAUGUUGCACCUUUUGAAGACCAAAUAGUUCCCAUUUCAACCAUUCUUUCACAGUCCACUGCACAAAGUUUUUAUGUUGAAGGAGAAAUAUCAUUACCAAGUGAGUUCCAACUUUUCUUCGUACUUCUAUGCUCUGAGUGUCAACAUCUAGCACGAAUCAAGCGCAAAAAAAAAGUUCUUUGUAUCAACUGCAAGCUAGAGAGAAUGCUGAUUCCAAGAUGUGAAUUUGAAGUUGAAAUCACAGACGAGAGCGGAACAAUAACAACAAUGGUGUCGGACAAAGUAGCUGAAACAAUGCUUUCAAUGACAACAGAGCAAGUAUAUGAAACUACCAUUGCCCAGAAACAGCUGUUACCUGUUGAGCAUAUCAGAGAGCACUUGCUAAACAAGCUGUUCAAAAUUCAUUUACAAAAAAGAAAUGUACAAUCCAUCACUUCUGCAGAAGCAAAUCGCACUCCAUCGGCACAAGAUGGAAACCCAACCAAGAAACCACUCAUAGACUCAGCAAGUCUUCGGCAAAAAUAGUCAAGGUUAGAAACUGAUACUUCAUAGACCCUAUUUUUUUAAGACCUUUUAACUAAGUUACUUUAUAUGUAAGCACCAAAUCAAAAAAGCUGCAUCUGCUAAACAACUGCAAACACAAACAAUAAUUUCAUAUAUAAUAAAAGUUUUGUCGGGUAACAACAUUGUUUAUCCAUCCAUUCAUGCAUUCUAAUUCUUUGUUAAAUUAUUUAGCUGGAUGACAUUUGCAAUUCUCAAUAGAAUUUCUGUUGUUUGCUUUUAGACUACUAAUUAAUGAAUACUUACAUUUACUUCUCUCAAUUUCUGUCCAUUACAAUGCUUAUUUUAUGUCAAAAAGUAGGGCUGCUCGG